UACGAAGGGGGCUAGCGUUGCUCGGAAUCACUGGGCGUAAAGCGCACGUAGGCGGCCGGAUAAGUCAAAGGUGAAAUCCCUCGGCUCAACUGAGGAACUGCCUUUGAAACUGUUUGGCUCGAGUCCGGGAGGGGGUAGCGGAAUUCCCAGUGUAGCGGUGAAAUGCGUAGAUAUUGGGAGGAACACCAGUGGCGAAGGCGGCUACCUGGACCGGAACUGACGCUGAUGCGCGAAAGCGUGGGGAGCAAACAGG
rnacentral:rRNA from 1 species